GAAAGUUUCCAAGGGCGCAUGGUGGAUGCCUUGGCAACAGGAGCCGAAGAAGGACGUGGGAAUCUGCGAUAAGCCUGGUGGAGUCGAUAACCGGACGUUGAGACCAGGAUUUCCGAAUGGGGAAACCCCGCACGACGUGUCGUGUGACCCCCGGUUGAACACAUAGACCGGGUGGAGGGAACGUGGGGAAGUGAAACAUCUCAGUACCCACAGGAAGAGAAAACAAAAGUGAUUCCGUUAGUAGUGGCGAGCGAACGCGGAUGGGGCUAAACCGUAUGUGUGUGAUACCCGGCAGGGGUUGCAUGUGCGGUGUUGUGGGCCCCUCCUUGUCAUGUCUGCCGGCAUGGCGCAGUGAGGUGCGGGCAUAUAGACGAACCAGUGUGGAUGCUGGACCGUAGAGGGUGAGAGUCCCGUAGUCGAAAUGUGUUCCGCCGCUGUUGGAGGGUUGCCCGAGUAGCACGGGGCCCGAGGAAUCCCGUGUGAAUCUGCCAGGACCACCUGGUAAGCCUGAAUACUACCUGUUGACCGAUAGCGGAUCAGUACCGUGAGGGAAUGGUGAAAAGUACCCCGGGAGGGGAGUGAAAUAGUACCUGAAACCAUGUGCCUACAAACCGUUGGAGCCUCCUUGUGGGGUGACAGCGUGCCUUUUGAAGAAUGAGCCUGCGAGUUAGUGAUACGUGGCGAGGUUAACCCGUGUGGGGAAGCCGUAGCGAAAGCGAGUCUGAAUAGGGCGAUUGAGUCGCGUGUCCUAGACCCGAAGCGGAGUGAUCUACCCAUGGCCAGGUUGAAGCGCGUGUAAGAGCGCGUGGAGGACCGAACCCACUUCAGUUGAAAAUGGAGGGGAUGAGCUGUGGGUAGGGGUGAAAGGCCAAUCAAACUCCGUGAUAGCUGGUUCUCCCCGAAAUGCAUUUAGGUGCAGCGUCACGUGUUUCUUCCCGGAGGUAGAGCUACUGGAUGGACGAUGGGCCCUACAAGGUUACUGACUUCAGCCAAACUCCGAAUGCCGGGAAGUGAGAGCGUGGCAGUGAGACUGUGGGGGAUAAGCUUCAUAGUCGAGAGGGAAACAGCCCAGACCACCGGUUAAGGCCCCUAAGCGUGUGCUAAGUGGGAAAGGAUGUGGAGUUGCUGAGACAACCAGGAGGUUGGCUUAGAAGCAGCCACCCUUGAAAGAGUGCGUAAUAGCUCACUGGUCAAGUGAUUCCGCGCCGACAAUGUAGCGGGGCUCAAGUACACCGCCGAAACCGUGGCAUUCAGUUUUGCUGGAUGGGUAGGGGAGCGUCGUUCACGAGGUGAAGCCAGCGGGUAACUUCUGGUGGAUUGUGGACGAGUGAGAAUGCAGGCAUGAGUAGCGAAAGACGGGUGAGAAACCCGUCCGCCGGAUGACUAAGGGUUCCAGGGUCAAGCUAAUCUGCCCUGGGUAAGUCGGGACCUAAGGCGAGGCCGACAGGCGUAGUCGAUGGACAACGGGUUGAUAUUCCCGUACCAGUGAAGAACCGCCCAUGCUGAGCCGGUGAUACUAACCGCCCGAACCAUCCCGAUCCUCGUCUUUGACGGGGUCGGUGAUGGGGAGCGCGGGACCUGAACCGGGGAGGCAAGCGCAUUAACAGGUGUGACGCAGGAAGGUAGCCGGGCCGGGCAAUGGAAAUGACCUGGUCUAAGGGUGUAGGGCUGCCGGUAGGUAAAUCCGCCGGCUGUAUGCCUGAGACCUGAUGGGCGCCCACUUGGUGGGUGAUCCGGUGAUCCUAUGCUGCCUAGAAAAGCAUCGGCGUGAGGUUCAAACUGCCCGUACCCUAAACCGACACAGGUGGUCAGGUAGAGAAUACUAAGGCGAUCGAGAGAAUCAUGGUUAAGGAACUCGGCAAAAUGCCCCCGUAACUUCGGGAGAAGGGGGGCCCCAACCUUGAGCACCACGUGCUGGUGCGAGGGGAUCGGGGCCGCAGAGACCAGGGGGAAGCGACUGUUUAUCAAAAACACAGGUCCAUGCGAAGUCGUAAGACGAUGUAUAUGGACUGACUCCUGCCCGGUGCUGGAAGGUUAAGGGGACCUGUUAGCUUCGGCGAAGCGGAGAACUUAAGCCCCAGUAAACGGCGGUGGUAACUAUAACCAUCCUAAGGUAGCGAAAUUCCUUGUCGGGUAAGUUCCGACCUGCACGAAUGGAGUAACGACUUCCCCGCUGUCUCAACCGUGAACUCG
rnacentral:rRNA from 1 species